rnacentral:rRNA from 1 species
UUUCCUACGGGGGGCAGCAGUGGGGAAUAUUGCACAAUGGGGGAAACCCUGAUGCAGCGACGCCGCGUGAGUGAAGAAGUAUCUCGGUACGUAAAGCUCUAUCAGCAGGGAAGAAAAAAAGUCUUUGGCUUUGGACGGUACCUGACUAAGAAGCCCCGGCUAACUACGUGCCAGCAGCCGCGGUAAUACGUAGGGGGCAAGCGUUAUCCGGAUUUACUGGGUGUAAAGGGAGCGUAGACGGUCCUGCAAGCCAGAUGUGAAAGCCCGGGGCUCAACCCCGGGACUGCAUUUGGAACUGUAAGGCU